UGAUGUCAUUUCCUGUCCCAUCAGAGCUGUGCUGUGAUUGGUCCUGAUGGGAGGUGAGAGGGGUUUAAAAGCAACUCAGCCUCUCUGCUCCGUUACCACGGUUACCACAGCACUACUGCAGGAUCACACACACACACACACACACACACACACAGAGGAGUGUGAUCGCCCAGGACAGCAGAAGUGAGUCAGGAUGAAGCUUCUGCUGCUUUUCUGUCUGCUGGGACUCAGCCUGACUGUCUCUGUCCACAGGAGACGAGUAGCAAGGUCAGACAGCUCUGAGGGAGAUGGGAGCGACUCCAAUGACGCCAGCGAUGAAGAGGAGGAGGAGGGAGGAGAUGACGAAGGCGACGAUGGAGGAGAUGAAGAGGAGGAGGAGGAG